CCCUGGACCCAGCCCUGGUCUGGCUGAGGUAGUGAGCCAGUGGGGCAUUGCUGGAGAGUGGGGCAGGAAAUCGGGCAGUGGGCCAGUUCCAGAGAAGCUGUAAUUUUCUUUACUCCUUCUGUGUCUGGGGGCAGAGGCCGAAUGUGGCCACAGCCUCCCGAACUUCCUUGGAGGAGCUAGGCAAGAUGCCCAGACCAACAGAAGCUGCUUCCUGCCUUCCAGCCUUCAAGUCUAGGCAAGGAAUAAGACCAGGAAAUCUUGCUACAGAACUUCUAUGUGAUGAGCAACAACAGGCACUAUCUCUCAGGCUUUUGAUCCUUGCUCAAUUUGCGCAUUGCUCAAAUCAGCCAAACCCUUCCACUCUGGCCUCCUCCCUCUUUCUCAGCUCUCAGGGACCAGCAUCUUGAGCAGGUCAUCAAAAACCAUGUAGCUUCCACUUUGUUCACUGGAGACUUAGUUCUCUGAUCAACAGUCCCUGCUGAGCCCAGUCUUGCAGCCAUGUCCACCCAUGAGCCUGCCAUGUGUGUGAAGCCAUCUCAGACCCUUCAGACAAGCUCAUAUGCCAGCUGAGUACCUCCAGGCAACCAUAGUUGGUGCCCAGCCUGAAUUCCUGAUCCACAAAAGCUAUGAGAUAAUAAUAAAG
ensembl:lncRNA